UCCAGACUCCUACGGGAGGCAGCAGUGAGGAAUAUUGGUCAAUGGUCGGGAGACUGAACCAGCCAAGCCGCGUGAGGGAGGAAGGUACAGAGUAUCGUAAACCUCUUUUGUCAGGGAACAAAGACUGGGACGCGUCCCCGGAUGAGUGUACCUGAAGAAAAAGCAUCGGCUAACUCCGUGCCAGCAGCCGCGGUAAUACGGAGGAUGCGAGCGUUAUCCGGAUUUAUUGGGUUUAAAGGGUGCGUAGGCGGUCUGUUAAGUCAGCGGUAAAAUGGCGGGGCUCAACCCCGUCGAGCCGUUGAAACUGGCAGUCUCGAGUUGGAGAGAAGUAUGCGGAAUGCGCGGUGUAGCGGUGAAAUGCAUAGAUAUCGCGCAGAACUCCGAUUGCGAAGGCAGCAUGCCGGCUCCACACUGACGCUGAGGCACGAAAGCGUGGGUAUCGAACAGGAUUAGAUACCCCAGUACA
rnacentral:rRNA from 1 species